UACGUAGGGUGCAAGCGUUAAUCGGAAUUACUGGGCGUAAAGCGUGCGCAGGCGGUGAUGUAAGACAGGUGUGAAAUCCCCGGGCUUAACCUGGGAACUGCAUUUGAGACUGCAUCGCUGGAGUGCGGCAGAGGGGGAUGGAAUUCCGCGUGUAGCAGUGAAAUGCGUAGAUAUGCGGAGGAACACCGAUGGCGAAGGCAAUCCCCUGGGCCUGCACUGACGCUCAUGCACGAAAGCGUGGGGAGCGAACAGG
rnacentral:rRNA from 1 species